rnacentral:rRNA from 1 species
CUUGACAUCCAGCGAACUUGGCAGAGAUGCCUUGGUGCCUUCGGGAACGCUGAGACAGGUGCUGCAUGGCUGUCGUCAGCUCGUGUUGUGAAAUGUUGGGUUAAGUCCGCAACGAGCGCAACCCUUAUCCUUUGUUGCCAGCGAUUCGGUCGGGAACUCAAAGGAGACUGCCGGUGGUAAACCGGAGGAAGGUGGGGAUGACGUCAAGUCAUCAUGGCCCUUACGAGUAGGGCUACACACGUGCUACAAUGGCGCAUACAAAGAGAAGCGACCUCGCGAGAGCAAGCGGACCUCAUAAAGUGCGUCGUAGUCCGGAUCGGAGUCUGCAACUCGACUCCGUGAAGUCGGAAUCGCUAGUAAUCGUGGAUCAGAAUGCCACGGUGAAUACGUUCCCGGGCCUUGUACACACCGCCCGUCACACCAUGGGAGUGGGUUGCAAAAGAAGUAGGUAGCUUAACCUUCGGGAGGGCGCUUACCACUUUGUGAUUCAUGACUGGGGUGAAGUCGUAACAAGGUAAGCGUAGCGAG